CCUACGGGGGGCUGCAGUGGGGAAUAUUGGACAAUGGGGGCAACCCUGAUCCAGCCAUGCCGCGUGUGUGAAGAAGGCCCUCGGGUUGUAAAGCACUUUCAGUGAGGAAGAACGCCUGGUGGUUAAUACCCAUCAGGAAAGACAUCACUCACAGAAGAAGCACCGGCUAACUCCGUGCCAGCAGCCGCGGUAAUACGGAGGGUGCGAGCGUUAAUCGGAAUUACUGGGCGUAAAGCGCGCGUAGGUGGCUUGAUAAGCCGGUUGUGAAAGCCCCGGGCUCAACCUGGGAACGGCAUCCGGAACUGUCAAGCUAGAGUGCAGGAGAGGAAGGUGGAAUUCCCGGUGUAGCGGUGAAAUGCGUAGAGAUCGGGAGGAAUACCAGUGGCGAAGGCGGCCUUCUGGACUGACACUGACACUGAGGUGCGAAAGCGUGGGUAGCAAACAGGAUUAGAUACCCCUGUAGUC
rnacentral:rRNA from 1 species